rnacentral:rRNA from 1 species
GAUCAACGCUGGCGGCGUGCAUAAUACAUGCAAGUCGAACGAUCAAAAGUAAAACUUUUCUUCCGAAUGAACUUAAUUGGCUUAUUGGUGAACCGUUGAGUAACUCCUUAUUAACCUGCCUUGUACAAGGGGAUAGCCGUUUGAAACGACGAAUAAUAUCCUAUGACAUCAAAUAAUCUCAAGAUAAUUUGAUCAAAGAUCUAUCGGUAUAAGGUGGACUAACUUCUGAUUAAGUAGUUGAUAGAGUAAAAGCCUACCAAGGCAAUGAUCAGUAGGCGGCUUGAGAGAGUGUCCGGACACAUUGGGAAUGCGACACGGCCCAAACUCCUGCGAGGGGCGGAAGUGGGGAAUUGUGAACAAGGGGGGAAACCGAGAGGCAGCGAGGCGGAAAAAUUUAGAAGGAGUGAGGGUUGUAAAAAUCUUUUGUAUGGGAAGAAAAUGACGGUACCAUACGAAUAAGGACCGGCUAAUUACGU